rnacentral:tRNA from 1 species
GGUCUAAUGCGCAAGACUAGAAAUCUUGUUCCUUCGGGAGCGUCUGUUCGAAUCAGGCCAACGUCG